rnacentral:rRNA from 1 species
GAUGAACGCUGGCGGCGUGCUUAACACAUGCAAGUCGAACGAAGCACUUAAUGAGAUUUCUUCGGAUUGAUUAUUUUGUGACUGAGUGGCGGACGGGUGAGUAACGCGUGGGUAACCUGCCCCAGACCGGGGGAUAACAGUCGGAAACGACUGCUAAUACCGCAUAAGCCCACGGCUCGGCAUCGAGCAGAGGGAAAAGGAGCAAUCCGCUUUGAGAUGGCCUCGCGUCCGAUUAGCUAGUUGGUGAGGUAACGGCCCACCAAGGCGACGAUCGGUAGCCGGACUGAGAGGGUGAACGGCCACAUUGGGACUGAGACACGGUCCAAACUCCUACGGGAGGCAGCAGUGAGGAAUAUUGGUCAAUGGGCGAGAGCCUGAACCAGCCAAGUAGCGUGAAGGAUGACUGCCCUAUGGGUUGUAAACUUCUUUUAUAAAGGAAUAAAGUCGGGUAUGGAUACCCGUUGCAUGUACUUUAUGAAUAAGGAUCGGCUAACUCCGUGCCAG